rnacentral:lncRNA from 1 species
UUUUUUUUUUUUUUUUUUUUUUUUUGCAAAUCAGGUGAUAUGGAUUUUUUUUUUUGUAAUCAGGAGAUUGACAAGUUUCAAUUUUGAAGACGGCUACGUUUACAGGCUUCCCACCAGCGUCUCUCAAAAAAAAAAAGAGGCAUCCCUCCCACCAAUGAAAAAUUAUGCGAGUAUAAUAAAACUCGAAAGAACAACCAAACGACUACCUACCAACCUAUUCGGUGCCAAUGUCAAAAUUCGUGGAAGCAUUAAUUGAACGCCGACUCGUUUCUCAUUCUUUAGUCCUUGCCACUCAAACGUGGUUUCCACUCAAAAGGCCAUGGUUGCUAGCUUGGACAAACAAACAGUUACGUUCAAGAACUUCACAUAUAUACGCAUGGCAUUCCACAUUGCUGGGUCCAAAACCCGCAUUAGCAAAGGCAUCCAUCAAAUGGAGAACAGCAGCAAUGGCAACACUUGCCAUAAGAAGCAUCAUCCAUUCACUAAUCUUACUCGUUCGCCUCCCUUGCUGCAAAGCAAAAGCAGACCAGCUCCAGCGGAUGCACAUAUGCAAGCACCAAAUUCUCGGCCCGCAUUGCUGAAUCCCUCAAAAUCAAGGUCUCGUAAAGUCGAGGAGAGUACUCCGACGUCAAGAAUCGAUCGAAAGAAAUUACCUCCGGAGAGCAGAGAUGAUGCUAACAAGCUUCUACUGCGCGGUCAAAGUAAGAUGGACGUGCCUGGACGAUCGAGGUCCGCUAGUACUUCUCCCUCUGCUUGGGCUUUAUCACCGGGUCGAUCAUUGCAUCCCCCGUCACCGGCACCUCGGCGGCCACUUGAUUUAGUGUCAAAAUCGAAGAGGGACCCUUGCAGCGAUAAGGGUAGCAGUGGUGUAGGUGGGGUCUUGAAGUACUUGGGCAAGAAGAUCAAGAAAGCGUCCCGCCUACAAGAAGAAGAACACCAUCGGUGUCGCAUUAUACAUAAUGCACUAUUGCAGUGGAGGUUUGUCAAUGCAAGAGCUCAGGUUUCAACGACUGCGGUCAAGGGAGCUGCGCAGAAGAAGCUUUUCAACUUCUGGCUAAAAGGGUCUAUAAUGAAAAACGCCAUAGCUGGAAAAAGAAUUCAGCUGCAAAGGCUCAACCAGCAGAUCAAAUUAUAUCAUAUACUCCGUUCAGAAUUCUGUUUGCUAAAAGAAUGGGCGAGAUUGGAGAUCAAGAACCGUGAAGCUGCGGAAAGAUUGGCGACGAAAUUGUCAGCAAUGUCACGCUGUCUCCCUUUGGACCAGGGUGCAAAGGUACGCAUUUGAUAUAAUCUCUUCAUGGUUGGUUAGUUGUGAAUUUGUGAUCCUCAUACAUUUUUUUCACCUAAUUUCCACUCGUAGGACGAGAUUCUAAUUCCUAAUCAAUCCUCAAUUCUUUGCUUGCACAGGCAGAUGUAACGUCAUUGCUUGAUUGGAUGAUCAUGGCGACGAGAGUUAUAGAAAACAUAGGAGCAAAGAUCGAAAAUAUUCAAGCGCAGGUAUAAUUAAAACACCGAAGGAUUAUCGCAUGAAUCAAUUCAGUUUACAUAUUAUAAAAACCGACUUCUGUAAGUUCUGCAAUUUUCGGUUUGAGGGCUCUGUUGGCGCAGGUUGAGCGACUAUGUUACAUGUUAACUGAGCUUUCAGUCAUAGCGAACGAAGAGAAGGAUUGCGCUAUUAUGCUCGAAAAGAAUUUGGCCACGUUAGCAUCAUUGGCGGUGAGUUUCUACAGGAUUUUUUUUUUCUUUUCUAUUCUGGGUCUAACUUAUAAGAUAUGUCUAUCUAUCUCUGUUUGUUUGGAUUAACUGUUUCUUGGAGUGUUUUUAAAAAAAUUUUAAUAUAGCAAUGUAUAUAAAAAAUUUUACUAUAAAUAUUUUUUGAAAUAUUUGAUAUAUUGUAUGGAUGAGAUUUUUUUUAAUUAUUUUUAUUUGUAUAUUACUAUAACAUUGUAUUUAAAAAAAAAAAUUUUAAAAAAAAAAAAUGGUCGAUCUAAACGGACCUUGCCUUCGAAGUGGGCUGAUGGCGCAUUUCGAGUUUAGACCCAAUAGUGGCUUCCCAUAACCCAACCUCAGUUAUCAAAAUGGGGGUUUUCUACGAAACUAUUGCGUGUAAUUAAUUAGUGCAUUGUAUAGCAAUACAUUUCCCAUGCACAAUCCGAUUAGUUGAACUCGAAAAGCUUCAGAUCUAAUUGAAAGUUGAGACCCUCAAUUUGCAGGCACAAGAGACAAGUUUAAGGUUGCAUUCCAUACAGCUUGAUGAAGAGUCUAGAAGAUUCAAUUCAGCAAUUCUCACCCCUUAGCGUAUAAAAGCCUUCUGAUCUUGCACUAUUACACUUUGGCGUAUUGCACGCGCGGACGUUGCAUGGUGAAAUUUAACAACAUUUUCUUUCAACUCUCUCAAUCAUCCCGCAUAUUUGACAUUUGGAGUGAUACGAGGAACAUUAUUAUUAUUAUUAUAUUGAUUAAAUUUUUUUUACGUUGUUAAUGUAUACACUAAUGAAAUUAAAUGUACGUUAUGUCGUCUAAAUUUGAAUUUGAACGCAAGAUUUUUUUUUUUUUUUUUUACGAGUGACGCGUAUUUAGAACCGUUGGGGAACAAUAAUACAAUAGGUCCAUAUGUUUCCGGUGGAGAGAGGUGAUGAUGCUUAAGCUGCUUCGGCGGUGCUUUCAUUUGUUUCUUCGACUGAAGUUGUAGCCUCCUCCCCGGUACCUGAAUUUAUCACCAAUAGCGAUUCAACAAAAACUCAAUCCAUCCCUCAUCAAGGGUUCGAUGUUUAUGAAAUUUGCACGCAUAUAUAUUAAGAACCAUUUCACAAGCUUAAUGUGCGGUGCGAGUCACGGCAAGUGAUAGAAUCAGAACACUUGGAAGUGGAAAUAAGAGGGAAAAAAAAAUUUGACUUUCCUAUACCAAUCCCCACAAUCAAAAUUAGAAAAGUGGAAAAAAAAAACCCCAAAAAAAAAAAAUCCCAAUCCUAUUAACAUUCAAUUAUAGGUGCCGGCUUUUGUGCCAAAGGAAUAGCAUCGCAAGCGGUGCCAUUUUCUUCGCCGCCGCCUCCGGGCAGUUUCCUCUUCGGCUUGGCCUCUUGCAGCAUUGAUACUACAUCCCUCAUAGUUGGACGGUCAGCGGGAUUUCGACUGGUGCAGAUCAAUGCAAUUCUUAGCACUAGCAUCAUUUCCUCCCUCACGGAGGCACACGACGCACCAGCAUUUUUGUCCAGAAUAUCAAGAAAACCAUUUUUACUCUUAAUCUUAGACCUCACCCAAUCUACUAUACUAUUCCCAUCCCCAAAUUCUGCAUCCACGGAUCUUUUCCCGGCCAAGAUUUCCAAUAACACCACGCCGUAGCUAUAAAUGUCACUCUUCUCAUCGACUUGCACCGUGUAAGCAUAUUCUGCAAAAACAGAUCGCACCAACUUCAGAGAGAUCCAUCGCGAAAAAAUGAACGCUGAAAAUUUGAAAAGGAGCAAGCUGGAAAAACAUGAUGGUAGGAUUUUAGUCCCAACCGCCCCAAGCAUUUGACUUUGGAUGCUUGUCGAGGCAUGUACUAGCAGUAAGCAUGUUCAUCAGACAUCAUGAAGCAAACUUGACAAAAAUAAGAGGUGGGACCAAUUGACGAGAGAAAAGUGAAAAGUAAAAGCAAAAGGGGGCUUCACGCCUAAUAGUGCGCCAUGGGGAAGAGCAGCAGUAAAUCACGGCGAGAAACAUCCGAAAAGAUAUAAAGAUUGGGGCAUCGGAGCAGAGAGUACAGUGCACAACAUAAUGCCUCCUGCCUCCUCUGAUUAGAUUGUGCGGGUAAAGCUCGGCAAUUUCAGUCCCAUGGCGACCAACUAUUAUACCACCUGGACCAUCCUGCUAGUUAUCACCAGGCUAACUUUAAUGUGUCUUGCUUCCCUUCAAGUAGGAAACUACUAUUGAAUUUGAUGAAUGUGUUUCAUCAAUAUACGUGCACAAUGGUUUGAUUAUAUUUUGAAUGGGUAGUUUUUUAAAAGAAACAUUUUUUUUUAAGUCCAUUUUUGAUACACCACGAAAUGGAAAGGUGGCAUCUGACAAAAAUCCAUAACAAAACUUAACAUGUCCACUAAAUUGACUUGCACCACAGAAUAAUAAUAAUGUGCGCAAGACCACGACCAUGGGCACGCAAGAGGAAAGGGCAAAAGGCAUCUCUCGUCACCCAACAGAAAGUACAAAACCGACAUGACGACACAACUACGGAUAUUCCCUACUACUGGCAGCGAAUGAAGCAGACUCCCAAUUCUUAGUUUCAGGAACAUUUAUUUUAGUUACUUCCUUCCAAGUUCCAACCACUACUGGAUCUUGAUUGAACCAACAUACUUUAUGCGAACCAAAAAGGAAAAUAAAAAAAAAACAACAACUACUAUUAGAGCUGCACCUAGGAGUAGCGAAAGAUUGGAAAUUGACUUUGUAACAUCACGUUCGGCAAUGAAAUUAAACCCCAAAAUCAUAACUUUCGCAGCAGCAAAUCAGAGCAAAAGAUUGACAAGAACGCACCUGGAGCUAUGUAACCGUAAGAUCCAGCGAUCACGGACAUUGAUUCAUCGCUCUGGAUCAACUUAGCCACUCCAAAAUCGGCCACCCGAGCCUCCAUCUCGCUAUCCAAAAGUAUGUUACUGGGCUUCAAGUCCCGGUGGACGAUCACCGGAUCACAGUCAUGAUGCAGAUAAGAAAUCCCUUGAGCCACGCCCAAAGCAAUCUUGUACCUGGUGAGCCAGUCUGCCACCAAAUUUUGGUCCUUAUUCUUGCCAUGCAACAAAUCAUCCAAGCUCCCAUUGGGCAUGUACUCGUACAACAGCAUGGUACAUUCGUUGUUGCUGCAACAUCCCAGCAAUCUCACGAUGUUCCGGUGCCGCACGUUCCCCAACACAUCAACCUCGGCCAAAACCCCUCUCCUCUUCCUGAUCGUCUCCUUGUGCUUCCCCCAUAGCUUCUUCACCGCUAUGAUCUCGCCACCUGGCAUUUCCGCCUUGUACACCGUCCCCGUGGACCCCAUUCCUAUGAUCUUGUCCGUCAUGGUCAAGCACUCCAACACAUCCUCAGCCGUGAAGUUCAAUCUCUGGAAUGCAGUUAGUUUCCACGGCCCGACUUCCCUGUCUCCGGCGAAUCUCCUUCUGUAAUUGGCAUGAAAACACCGACUGGCCGCGAUUAGAACGAACAAUCCCAUCCCAAAAGCAGCGGCCAUGAUCCAAACUAUUGCACCGGCCGUCUUCUUCGGUUGCUGCCUGACCUCAACUGCUCCAUCCGCGAGUCCAUCGGUCCGGCAAGGCUUUUUGAUGACCCCACCGCAAAGCCCUUCAUUGCCAGUGAACGACGACGGAUGCAGGCUAGUGAAGACGGAGCCCGAGGAGGGUACAGGACCAGUGAGCUGGUUGUAAGAAACGUUGAAGUUCUCCAGAGUACUGCAGUUGCCGAAAUUCGACGGAAUUGCUCCAGUAAGAAAAUUGUGAGACAAGUCCACGUCCGUAAUAGAGGGAAGCGUUGAUAUUUCCCAAGGAAUAAUCCCUGUUAACGAAUUUUUACGCAAAUUCAAAUGUAUGAGCUUUUCGCAGUGAUCGAUAUCCCACGGGAUGCUUCCAGUCAGAUUGUUUCCUUCUAGCUCAAUCUUGUACAAGCUUCGACAGCCUUUGAAAUCCGGAAUUAUACCAAUGACAUCUGCAAAGCUAGCUGACAAUAUCUGUAAGGCUGGUGCGCUCCAGAUAUUAUUCGGCAACUCAGAAUCAAACGAAUUUUCCGAUAUAUUCAAGUACUCUAACUUGACGGCAUUCCCUAAAUCUUUGGGAAUCGGCCCUGUGAAGUUAUUCCUGCUGAUGUCCAUGAAUGUAAAGUUUGGCAGGAAACCGAAACCUGACGGUAUUGAGCCGUUGAGUUGGUUGUUCUGAAGCCGAACACGAUUCAAGGCUGUGCAGUUUGCUAGACUUGAAGGAAGCUCGCCCACGAAUUGGUUGGAGAAGAGGAUGAGCUUCACGAGACUGUUGCUUAGGCAAAGACUUGGCGGGAUGGGACCCGAGAGCGAAUUUGAAGAGACGUCUAGCUUUUGUAGCUUUGCAUUUGAGCCUAACUUCUGAGGUAGAAUUCCGGUGAGUGAGUUGUUCCAUAAACCCAAGAUUUCAAGGCCAGGAAGCUCACCAAUUCCUUGGGGGAUUUCACCUGUUAAGUUGUUACCCAUCAACUGCAACUGGGUAAUCUCUUUUAAUCCUGAAAACGAGACCGGUAUCGUGCCUGUGAGGUUAUUAUCUGACAAAUCAAGUAUCUUCAGUGAUGUCAACUGAGCCAAACUUUCUGGUAUGGCGCCCGUAAAACGGUUCCUGAAGAGCAGCACCGUUUCUAUUUUUGUCAGGUUACCUAGCUCAGCUGGAAUCUCACCUGAAAGAUUAGCUGUCGAGAUGUCAAGAUAUACUAAAUUCGCUAAGUUGCCCAGAUGAGAAGGAAGCCCACCGCUGUAGCCAUUGUAGCCCACCUCCAUAUGCUCCAGCUGAUUCAAGAAACCUAAUUCAUUUGGAAUUGGACCGGUCAGAUUGUUUCCAGCUAAAUGCAUAAACUUCAGCCUAGGAAUACUUCCAUAACUCCCGGGUAUCGGGCCUUCGAAGUAGCUUCCCCCAAGGUUGAGGUACUCAAGAUACCUGAGAUGAAUGGUUUCAUUUGGCAAAGGGCCGAUGAAGCUGUUGCUGUAGGCAUUCAGGUGGGUGAGGGACCUGAGCCUGGAUAUGCCAGGUGGGAAUGUUGAAUUGAAGAAGUUGUGACUAAUGUCGAGCGUUCUAAGAAAAGGGAAUUCAAAUAUGGACAGCGGUAGAGUGCCGUCAAAUGCGUUUCCGCUCAAAUUCAAAUGAUGCAGGUGGGAAAUGUAUGUGAUAUCGGCCGGAAUGAUGCCUGAGAGGUUGCGCCUGGAGAGAUCAAGGGUCGUAACUUGAUUGGUUUUCUUGUCACAUUUGAUACCCGACCACGUACACCACACUGGAAAUUCAGGUUUGGAGAAGGUUGGUGCGGGGUCCCAGUCCUGGAAGGUGUUGAGAGGGUCUUUAAGAGAAGACUUGAGAGAAAGAAGGGAAAUGAGUUGCAAAGGAAGAGCAGGGCUGACGGCAGAAAUGGCCGGAGAAAUUUGAAAAAGAACAACGAUUAUGAGUAGUGCUAAAAACUUGGGUCUGAGGAAGAGAGAAUGGUGUUGGUUCAUGGUUGUGGGAUUGAAGGAGCAGUGGCGGUGAUAAAGGUUGAUGAGAGGUUGGCUUUGCUAAGAGAUAGGGUAAAUUUAAGGGUCGAAAGGCUUUGAUGGCUAGAGUAGCUUUUUUGGAGUGCAGGGAGCAGAGGGUGGUGUUUCAUGAUGACGAUGAUUAGUUUCUUCAGUGGGUUUUGUUUGGUAUGAAGAGAGAGAAGAAAGGAAGGAACUACUAUUGCUACUGCUACCACAACUGUUGUUUCUUCUUCUUCCUCUCCUUCUACAAGAACUUUUGGUACUAAAAGUUCUGUUUGUACCUCCCAUCCUCAAAACAGUUUCUCUACAAAACUCUACAUAUCAGUUUACGACACUACUCUUGCUCCUUCCUCCUCUUAGUUAUUAAGUAUUUUGUGAGAGUUUAAGGGCUGAUUUUCUUGGUUGUUCUGUUGCAUCUUUUGCGCUCCCUCUCUCUCUCUCUCUCUCAACUUUGUCUGCUAUAUAAGACUCCCAGCUAUACUUUUGGUUUUCUUGGAUUUCUUUCCGCUUUUCUUUUAUUUCUGCUUUUCAUCAUUCCUUGUUUCCUUUAUCUUUCGCCAGCAGAAUGUUGAUGAUAUAUUUAGACAGUGAGGGCAAUGUUCCGUCGCAGGAUCCGAGAAAGUGAUCUCAAUUUCCCUCCAAUUAUACCAAAACUGUUACGCUUUGAUCAAUUGCUUGCUUGCUUACUCUCUUUUUCUUUUUCGGGUUUUCCUCCUCCUCUUUUUUUUUUCUGUUGGAGAUAGAGAGUGAGUGCUUCAUGUGACAGCAGGUCGUGGAGGACCGCCCCCAUCAAACAGAAUUACGCAAAUCAGCCCAUCCUUCUUUUCAUCAGAAUCAUUGGACUAGAGAAGUGUGAUUAUACUAAUUUGCCAGGUGCCCUGCAAAUAUCUUGCCCAUGAUUGACCGAAGUUAAUCAUCUUAAUUUCUACGCUACGACAAUUGCAGCAUUACUUGAAACCGGCAAUCAGGAAGAGAUACCGAGAAAAUACCGCCGCUGCACCGGCUGGAACUGGCAUAACAACUCUGACAAUUGUCGUCCGACAGGGAAAAAGUAAUAAUGGUAAGAUUAUACUACUUACAUAAUAAUAAUGUGCAAUAAGACUUUAAUGGACAAACGUAUAUAAAUGCAAGUCAACUUAAACAACAAGUAAUUAAGGGUAUUAAUUCGUUAGCGUUUGAUUCGAUCUUCAAGCCCUCUCCUUUCUCUUCCCUCCUAUGAUUUGCGAAGAGUACAACGAAUAAAGGUGGGUGGGUGGGUGAUUGUUGGUGAAAGUAAACAGCCGGCAGCAAUUGAAGACCCGAGGGAUUCAUAGGCAACAGCAGCAGGCAUGCAUGAAGAUGGAAAAUCUUUCUAGGGGACGUUAUAAUGGAGAUGCACAAGAACAGCUACCACAGUUCUGUAUUUACUUCUGCGUUUCUUCUCGAAGGAGUAAAUCUUUUUGUGUACUACUAAUAACUAUACAUUGAGGGCUUAAGCUCUUGAACAUUUAACGACUGCAAAGCGGCCAGAUGAUUCAAUAACAUUUUUUUUCCCGGCCAGAUGAUUCAAUGACGCUGAAGCACUUUGCUGGCGAGUACGAGAACAUAUGACAUGAUAGCAGUGGUGCUACAAUUGUGGCUGCAAAGUAUUAAAUUCUUGUCGCUUCAUUGUCAGUUUUGACUUCUAUAGCUCAUGAAUGAUGACCAGUUCCUUUGUAUCAUUAAUGUCUCUAAAGUUUUAUCCUAGAAAAAAGAACAAGCUUUAGAGACAAGGCUUUAAAUAAUCGUUCGUUGCACAUUUUGAUGAUUUGUAAUUUUCGCAUUGGGACGAGUGGAAUGCUGUUCUCAUAGUUUUCAUUGCAAAAUGGAAGUUACUAAAAAAAUUUUUGAAAUCAAAUACUACUAUGCUUCUUACAUGAACAAAUGACAAAAAGAUAGUAAGUGCUCAAAUGCCCACUGUUUUUUUUUUUGUUAAAUAAAGGUGGUUUGAUAAAUGAGUUUUUUUUGUAUUUAUUUAAAACUCUAGUAUAAUUAACUUUAAAAGUUGUAGGAAAAAUUUUAGAAUGGAAAACUUUUUUCUUUUCUUUUUCUUUCUUUCUUUUUUCUUUUUUUUUUCCUCUCUUCUUCUUCUUCUUCUUUCCCCCUCCCACACCAGAAGAACCAGCGCCAAACAUGGACUUUUUUUUUUGUUUUUUCUCUCUCCCUCUUCUCCCUUCCCCCUCCUCGGCCAGAAGAACUAGCGCCAAACAUAAAUUUUUUUUUCCCUUUUUCCCUCUCCCUAGCUACAAUCUGGUCGCGAGACCAGAUCGGACAGAGGGUGAAGGAAGGGUGGCAGGGGAGGGAGAGGGGGGGGGAGAGAGGUGACGCAAAAGGGAGGAAGAGGGAGAAAGGUGAGCCAAAAAAAAAAAGGUGGCCGGCACUGAUGCCGACGACAAAGAUGGUGGUGAGUUGAGGUGAAAGAAGAAGGGACGAAGGGAAAUUUUUUGUAUGUUUUAUGUAUUUUGAAGUGUGUAAAUUAAAAAUUUUGAGAAGUUUUUUUAGAGUACUAUUGGUAAAUAAAAUUGUUAAAAAAUUGGUAGGAGACAAAUUUGGGCAAAAAUUCAUUUGUCAAGCAGGCCAAAGUACACUUGAAAUAUUGGGAAGUUUUUCAAAUAACCUCGUGCAAAUUUGCCAAAUGAAGGCAUUCUUUUUAUUUGUUUGUUUAGGAGUAUUCAAAGCAUUAUUGGCAUCUCCGUCGGGUAGGAUUAGAAACUUGCUUGAGAACUGAGGAGUCCUCAAGUCUUGCAUGUAACACCCACACUACUAUGAAUUGUCACGCAGCCGCCAAAAGCUGUAGACGGACAAACAUAUAAAAAGAUCAAAUUAAAAAGCAAAGCGGUUCGUGAUCAGACGCCAAUCAGCAAUGAGAAACAAAAGUUAAUUGGAGUACUAUAAAAUUAGCAUAAAAAUACUAAUGGAUGAAUAUGUGCCAAAGCUUGCUCCGAAAGAACUAACUAACAACAGAAAAGCUUUCGUCUGGACUUACGCAAAGUGGGCGAUAUCUGUUUCUAUGUCAGCGAAGAACAAACAAAACAAACGAAGGCCAACUAGUAAUUAAAUGAUUCAAACAUUGGCAAGAAAGAAAAAGUGGGGAGAUAAAAUAAAGCUUAAAUUAAUAGAAUUAAGGGGGAAGGAAAGCUUAUUGCAUUGGUAAAGGAUGCAAAGUGUUCUUCCCUCUGAGUACGACCCUUUCUUGGAUGAAUUUAUUGUUAGUGCCUACCACAAAGCAAUUUGACAGUAGCCCCCUUUCUCCAUUCCCAUGAUGAUCGCACGGGAUCCCAUCCCCACAGCCGAAAUGGCACUCUUCCCACACCAGACCAGACCAGGGUUUGAAUCACAGUAACAGAGGCAGAGCUGUAUCAUUUUUGCAUGGCGUCAUACAGACAAUAAUAAUUAAUAUCUCGGUUUACUUUUUCUCAAAUCAGUUCUUGGGGGCCAUUGCACAGAGUUUUUUUUUUCCCUUCCUAAAAAGGAGCAUUAAUCGUCCCAGUAUAUGUCAACCUAAACGAAUGGGCAUCAUCUGAUUACAAGAAGGAGUUGAUCAGCUUCGAUAUCAAUUCAAGCCCGCCGGUUUCUUUUGUAAUCUUUAUAUUCACCGUAAAACGCAGAACUAGUCACUGGCCGUGUGUUUAUCAUACUAAACUUUAGAAAGACAAAAAAAGGAUUUUGAUAUCCUAAGAAUGGUAAUUGGACUAAUUAGGUGCUAUCGAAACGUAACCACGUACCCAUGUGGGCGUAAAAUUAAGAAUUUUAACUCUCACCUUCACUUUUUUACAAGACAAAGAAGUUAUAAUUGAAACUAUCUAAGUCAAAUUUCGCAAUUAGGGCAACUAAAAAAGUGAUUUCGUAAGACAUUUAAUUGGUUGUGUUUGGAUUUUUCAUGAUUUUUUAUGAAAAAAUUACUGUAGCGAUUUGAUGUAUGCGAGGAAAAAAAAUAAUAAGGAAAUGUGAUCACGAAAAACAACGUAAUUUUUCGACGAAAAACUGCAAUCCAACAAGGAGUAUUUUUUUUUUUUUUACCUCAACAUACAUAAUAUCAUUAUAAUUAUUGGCACCCCAAAAAAUUGCAAAGAGGAAGCUAUUUUAAUUAAUACAUAUCAAAAUAUGUAUCAACAAACAGUCAAUAAUUUUAUUAGUUCAAAAUUUAAUAAUAAUAAUAAUAUCAUGACGUAACUUUUACUCUCUAGCUCACAACACAAAUAUCUCUUAGAUAACCCAACAACUGAAAUUUCUCGAGUAGCGUCUCGAGCUUUCUCUUCGAGAAGUAGCGUUUAUAGACUAAUUAGCCGAGUAAUUAAAAAGCCUAAACAAAUUCGGAUUCGGACUCGACACUUAAUUAUGCUUCAACCGACAAAAGAAAGGUGACUUGCCAAAUUAAUUUCCAGGACUAGACACUUGGACUUUAACGACUAAGAUAUAUGGUAACUAACUAAGAUAUAUGCUAGUACUAAUUUGACAACGACACUAACUUGAUUCCUAUGAAAACUAAAAUAACUUUUAACAACCUAAUAAAUUUGGCAACUAACAAAAACACUUUUGACUUUGAUGCAUAUGUUAGAUUAUCAAUCAAGUUUUGUUUAAUUUUUCUAAUAUUGCCUUCCUUAAAUCAAACUCCUCAGUAUUAUCUUCUCCAAUGCCAUAACGAGUUUGAAUCUCCAUAUAGAAAACUUAGUCGCUAUAUAAAUAAUAUGAAACACUAACUUGCGAUUAAUUUUUUAAUUUCAUCUUCACAUGUAGUAGUGGACCAAACUUAUACUUCUUGAAUCAUGUCUUGGCUUCAUCAUUUUUAUUGAGAAAUUCAAACAUAUUCACUUAUUCUUGAUUGAACACUUGAAGAAAAUUAUUUCAUCUAUAUCAUCAAUAAAAUCUUUCAAAACCACAAAAUCAUAGUCACCAUCACUAAAUUUUUCGCCAUCAACAAAAAUUUGCUUUAAUUUGUCCACUCGACCAAUCUCAUCCAUUAAAGCAGUAUCAAAUUAUUCAAUUAGAUUGUUCUCAACCAAUUCAACUAUUUGAUUUUCUUAUUCAAAUAACUCAUCAAUUCUCAUAAAAUCAAGAAUUUUACCUCAUCACGAUCUUGAAUCACGUCAUUAAUUUCACUAAUAAUUUUGUUUUCUUUAUGAAAUUUCUUUUUGAAUCACAAUUUCUUCAUCUUGAAAUGCAACCCCAUUCGAAUUCACUGAGUAGGUGUUGUUAUUCACAUCAAACCAUUCAGGUUCACGAGCAAACCAACCCAAUGAAGUCCUGCGUAUUCACAAAUCACAGUAAAACAAAGUUGCGAUUUUUUUUUAAUAAACCAUGAAGAAAAGAAUUCCCAAUAUAAUGGCAAUGGAAAAAUGUAAACAGGACUUUAAAAGUAUAUGUGUAUAUGUGAAUUUUUUAGAUACAUGCAACUGGACUUUAAAAUCGAGAUAAUGAAGUGCCUUGCGAUUCAAUUCUCCAUUCCUUUCUAACUCUUUAAUUGCACUGCUCGAUGAUUCUGCGCCUUUUGCAAGUUCCAUGAACCCUAUUUGGGCAAUAUCCCAGACUCCAAUAACUCUAUAAAAAAAAAAAAAAAAAAAUCCUCCUUCAAUAUACUCCAAGUCUCAAACUCAUUCAUUUUUACCGCCAAAGAUGAAAACCGUACAUUAUAGAUAAUAUGGAUCCAUAUUUCAUUUAUUAAAAAAAUUCAAUCAGUUAUGACCAAUUUAUGUUCUAAUUUUCAACAAUAAAUUUUCUAUUUUUGUGUCCUAAUUUUGCGCACAAGCCAUAGGAUUGAAGUCCAAAACUGUGAUAGCAAUUAUUAGCACCAAAAAAAACACACACACAAACAUACAAUGGAGUCUAUUUUUAACACAUAUCAAAAUGUGUAGGAAGAGAAAAAAAAUAAAUACACCAACAAGCGCUCAAUAAUUUUAUUAUUUUAAAACCUGACAAGAAUAAUACCAAGUCGUAGCUUUUACUCUUUAACUCACAGCACAAAUAACUCGACGACUUGAAUUUCUCAGAUAGGUUAUCAAGCUCUCUCGUCAGGAAACAAUAUGCCAUCACUAGGAAUAUUUAUAGACUAAUUAGCGGAGUGAAGAAUCUAAACAAAUUUAGAUUUGGACUCAAGACUUGUGCUCAAAGUUAAACCGAUAAAAGGAAGGUAAGUUACCGAGUUAAUUUGCAGUACUAGAAACUUGGACUUUAAUCGACUCAGAUAUAUGGUAAUUAACUAACGCCAUCCUAGUACUAAUUUGACAAUGACACUAACUUGAUUCUCAUGGAAACUAAAACAACUUUUACCAACCUAAUUAAUUUGGCAGCUAACAAAAACACUUUGACGUUGACACAUAUGCUAGAUUAUCAAUCAAGCUUAGUUUAAUAGUUUCAACAAUAAUACAUCUUUUUUACAAAAACUUCACAAAAUUGCAGCUUGAAGUAAUGGGACAGUUAGAUAUUGUUUGAUAAUCUAAUUCAACACUUAAUUUUCAUGGAUUCAUAUCUUAAUAUGUUUAGGCGCGUUUGAUAAUAAAAAAUUGAACAUCUGAAUUAAUUUAAACAAAACUGAAUUUUUUAAGCAAAACUUGCUUCUAAAAAUAAAUGGUAAGCUAUUCAUUUAUCACUGAAUGUGAUAUACACUCAAAUGUAUUUAAUUUAAUAGUUAACAAUUCAAUAACUUAAUAAUUUCACACUUCAGAUUUCAAAUUUCAAUAUUUAUCUUCAAUUUUUUCAAACGCGCCCUUAGUUUGAAUCAUAGUCACCUGAACAUCUUCGUUGUAGUUAAAUUACAACGCUCCCUACAACAUCAUUGCAGGUGAAAUCAGAGGAGAACCCCAUUGUACAAGUUUUAGCAAAUUAAACAUUCGUCUCAGUGACGUUUAUUACCAUCUAGUCACCCCUUUAAUCUCCGAACCCUCAAAAUGUGAAAACUUCGUGGCUAGCGACUUGCUGCAGCGAUUGAAUGAAAAGCAUGCGGAUCUCCCAUAAAUCGUCAGGCCGGAACUCAACUAUGCACUCCGCUGUCUAUUGACUCUAUAAUAAAGAAUGUGCGUUUAAUCGAUUCUUCCAUCUUCUCAAACAAGAAAGUAAAGCCAUUUAAGAGAAGCCUACCAUCAAAAUUCAAAACUGGCCGAAAGUAGAGUGGCCUUCUUUUCGUCUGUCGAACGAGAAUAAACAAUGCCCGUAAUAACUACUCGAGUAAAUGCAAAUUCAAAUCUUGCCUCUUAUUAUGUUGUCACGUUAAUUAUGUUGUCACUAACGUGAUUUCUCUUAAAUUCAUAUAAAUGCAUAAUGCAUCCGUGUAAUCCAAUAUUGAUUUAAUCUCCAUCAUUUUCCUUUAAUUCAAUUGGAUUAGGACUGUCAAUGGGGCUGAGCCAGCCCGAGCUCGGCUCGUUCGGCUCGAUGAGCCCGAUCAUUUAGUGAGCCGGUCUGAGUUUGAACCUAAAAAUUAGGCCCGAAUUAAAUGUGAGCCGAGUUUGGGCCUUAUUAGGCUUAAACCCGAUAUAGGUCCGGCCCUUUAAUUACCUAUAUAUAUAAUAUUUAUAUUUUAAUAUUAUGUAUAAUUAUAUAUCCAAAUAUAUUUUUACUAAAUACUAAAUAUAUAUAUAAAUUACAAAACACAAAAAUACAUCUAAAGACUCUUUCAUGAGUUUUCUUGAGAGCCAAUAUUAGUAAUGCAUAACUAAAUCUCUAAUUUUUCUUAUUAGUUGAGUAAAUUUUUGUAUUAGCAUAUUAUUGGUUAUUUUUUUUUUUGGUCUACAAACACAAAAAUCAUCAAGCAUAUUUGGAUUUAAAUCACAAGAUUAUAAAAAAAAUUUUCAACUUUUAAAGAUGUAUUGGCUUAUGAUCGCAUGUUUUAUUACUAUUUUUCAUGCAUUUUAAAUGGAUUAAAUAUAAAUAUUGUUGAAAAAAUUUUUGGUUUAUAUACUUUUUAAGAACUAUUAUUUGUUCAUGUUUAGUUUUAAUAUUAUAGGCUUGUAAAUGUUAAAUUAGUUUUACAACUUAAUAGUUAUAGUAAUUAUAUUAAGAAAAUUAAGGAGUAAUAAGUGAGCUUGGGCUAAACCCGAUUAAGGCUCACAACCCGAAUAUUAUGUGAGCUGAGUAUGAGCUUCACAUUUAUGAACCCGAAACUCAUAGCCCGAAACCCGAAAAUGUUACAAAUUAAAUGAGUUGAGCUUGAACUCAUCAAAGUCCGGCUCAUUAGGCCCGAUUGACAGGCCUAAAUUGGAUCACCUCUUUAAAAUAUAUUAGAGUAAGAGGAGAAACACUUGGGUCAAUAGGUUAGAAAAAAGAUAGCAAGGCGGCCGGAGGCUGCUAAUUAAGGAUGCGAAUCUCCUGCGGUUAGCAAGAGGCGCACCAUCCAGCGGAGCGGCUGACUGAUUUUGAAAUGAACAAUCAAAAUUGAAUUGGAUUACAUUAAGCCGAUAUUGAGCUUAGGGAUGGCAAUGGGGGCGGGUGCCCGCCCCGCGGGGUGCUCACGGGGCGGGGCGGGGGAGUAUACCCCCGCCCCAUCCCCUGCCCCGCCACCCGCAAAAAAAAAAAAAAAAUAUAUAUAUAUAUAUAUAUAUAAAUGACUAUAUAUUAUAUAUAAGUUAAUUAGUUAUAAACUUAUGAUAAUGAUAUUAUUAGUUAGAUGUAUUAUAUAAUGUAUAUUAGUUUAUGUAAUAUAAUUGAUAUUAUCAAUUAUAUGAAUAAUUAUACAUGUCUACUAAUAGAAUUUAUUAAUUAGUUAUACUAAAUUUACUAAUACAUUUAUACUAAAUUUCUAAUUACACUUAAUAGAAUAACACUUUUUUCUCAAAAAAAAAACACAAACACAAUGAUGAAUUAGUGAUUGCAUUUGUACUAAAAGUGAAAAUUUGACUAUUUUAGUUAUAUUUAUUUCAUCAUAUUGGAUUGUAUUCAAAUAACUUCUAUUUGAUUGUUUUUAUGUGUUUCAAUUGUAAAAUUACAAUGAAUAAUAAUUUGGUGAUGUGUUGAUAUUUUAGUACUUGAUUAUUUAUUAAAAUUUAAUCAUAAUAAAAUUAUAUAAUAAAAUUUUAUUAACUCCACGGGUGCCCCCGCGGGGGAAGCGGGGCAAGGCGGGGGGAGCGGGAGGCGGGGGACGGGGGGAACUAAUAGGCAACGGGGCGGGGGACGGGGGAGGGGUCCCCCGCCCCGCUGCCAUCCCUAAAUUUGAGCUGCUCAUUGGAGGGUCCGACUCCAUUCGUAACCACUGAAGAACCGGAUCCGCUAAUUAACGGCUAUAGAGAUAACAGGGGCGGUAGAGCCCAAGGGAAGAGGGUGGGCCAAUCUUGAUCAUCCAUAAGAUGGGGUCCAACAGUAUUUUGUCCCCUUAAUACCCUUCACUCUGAUCCAACACCUCAGUGUCUGAUUUGUCGUCAAGUAUGUGUCACACGUGGCAAAUCACGCUUCGCUCGCGUGACCCGCUCUUGCAUGAUGAUGAUGUUCAGCGUGCCCACCACACCCCACCCACUCUCAAAUCUCGUAUUGCAAAAUUUAACCACCAAAUUUUCAAAGAAAAAUUAUUACCUUUUUCGUAAACAUGUUUUUAAAUUAUUUUUUUAUUUUAUAUAUAUCAAAUCUCUAUAAUAAUUUUUUAUAAAAAAUUUAAAAAAAUAAAAUCCAAACAAGGGUUCAGAGUUUUAAGCUGUGGUAUUUUUUUUAAUACGUGAUUUAUAUGAAAUAAAAAUAAAUAAAAAAAACUUAAAGUUAGAAACAUUUGUAGUAUUUAUAAAUUUAACAGUUUUUUAAAUAUUUUGAUUAAAAAAAAAACUUCCAAUAAAUCACAACCCAAACAAGAGCUACGAAUUUUGAAAAUUUAAAGUUAGGGACAUUUGCAGUAUUUAUAAAUUAUGGACGGUAAACUUCUUUCACGAGAAAUAGAAAGCAUUCGUCCUUCAGUGCAAAUACAAUAAUAUUAUGAGAUUUACUAUCAUCUUUUACGGCAUAUGUAGCACAAUCUUAUUUUUUUUUUUUCUUUUAUCUUUAAAGAUUUUUUCCCCGCUUUCCUUCUUUGCUCUCUCACUACAUUUUUUCAAAUUAUGGCUCAUACAGGCAUGCCGUGAAUUAUUCCGUCACUUUUUCUAUCUCUCUCUCUCUCACCACUUUCCAAGUUAUAGGUCGUACAGGCUUUGUUAUGAUUUUUAAUUCUAGCAAUGCUCUAUUAUUGCGUUGAACAUACUCAAAUUAUUUUCUUAUUUUCUCAAAGCAUCAUAGCGAAUACUUGUAUCUUUUUUCAGUUACCUGCAAGCCACGUAAUUUUACUUUUUUUCCUUGAAUGCAGAAGAUCCACUUACAUGGGAUGGGAGUAGUCAAACCUUUGCCCAUCUUAUUUUAAUUGAUGGCUGAGUUUAAAUUUUGAAUUCGGGGAGAGUACAUGGAAAAUCAAUUGUUCGUUUCUUUGUUCACCAUCGGUCGUAAUUCAUUACUCUUGGCGCGGUCGAGCUGGAACCAAAGCAGCACACUGGUCCACACGGUACGCGAAAAUAACCCCUUGUUUUGAGUGGGAAAGGGGCUUUUCUAGUUUAAUUUUGUCUUGUUCUUUCUAGUUAGUGCAAUUCUAAAUUUACAUUAAAUCUAAAUGUUGUGAGAAUUAUAUUAACGGGAUAGAACUGAAUUGGAAAGCCCACAGGUCUGUUUCAAGCCAAUCAAUCGAGAUCCUGUUUGAUAAUCCAAUUCAGUACUUAAACUUAACUGAUUCAGACGCGUUUGAUAACAAAAAAAUAAACAUACGGGCACUGAAAUUUUUUAGACAAAACUUGCUCCUCCCAAAAUUAAAGGAUAAACUAUUCACUUAUCAGUGAAUGUGAUACACAAUCAAAUAUAUUUGAUUUAAUACUUAAACAGAUUUAGAUUUCAAAUUUCAAUUUUAUCAAAUGCAUCGUAAAUUUGUACUCGUGCCAUUUGUUAACGCGUCUAUGUCCAGUACUGGAUAUUGGUUUCAUUCGUUCAUGAAAUAUGAAUAUCGGCGUGCUUCUAUUAUUGAGAAAGGAAAAGAUUUUACUAUCUGGAUGAGGAGAGGACGAGGGGAAUCCAGACACAGGAUAUGUUACCAGUUGUCGUGAGAGUAGGAAAGGACUCAAAGUACCCGAAUGGACAAUGACAUUUUCGACAGCAAAUGGCAAAGAGGGAUGAUGAAGUCAAGUGAACCCAUAGUCCUCUCCAAGCAAACCUGGGAAGCGUCGUCCUCGUCCACAGGGGCUGGGGCCGUGGUGAUGCAUUUUGUCCAUUUCCUUGAUGCCUGACAGUUCCCAGUAAAUGGUGGACUGCUCAUUAGUCAUUACUACAUUCCACUGCCAAAACAAAAAUCCACUCUAAUUAAGAAAAUUACUAGUACUAUAUCAUAUGGCCCUAUUUAUUACUACUACUAGCAGUAGUAGUAGUAGUAUUAAUUAACAAGUACUGCUGUGCUGCACUUGCAACAGCGACCAAUUAUCCUAAUCAAGUACACAAUUCAGGUGUUGGACCAGACCAUCAUAAUAUGCGUGUACUGGUACACUCCACUGCAGGGAAUUUUUAUUUCGGAGGUAUUUUGGUUCAGGAAACGCAGGGUACAAUCAACUGUGGGUCCAAUGCGAGAGAUAGGCCUAUUAUCAAUUUACUAUCAUCGGCACUGUAAAAAAGAGAGGGGAAAAAGGAUAAAAUGAUACUACUGAUGAAUAAAGUACGGAAGGGAGAGAGGGCAGGGCGAGGGGCGGGGGGCGCUGGGGACAGCGACCUCGUGUGGUGGCGGAGGCGCAAAAUUUAUGGGGCUGGAAACUUGGCAUGCAAAUCAGUGUGGAGCUGCCAACUGCGGAAGCUUAGCAUUAGCAUGCGAAGAAGAAUCAGAGGAUCUGAAAUAGUAGGAGUAGUAUUUAGCUACUUUAUGCUUUUCCCUUUUCAUUUUUUCUGCGGUUGGCGAAUGCCGGGGCUGCUGCAUGUAUUGCACCAAAUCUUUAAGCCACCAAAAACCAAAAGGUAUUUUUAUUUAUUCCUCCGCCCACCACCACCACCAAAGCGUUUGCUUAACACCAUGCAAGAUCAAACGAAUUACAAACCGUGUUCAUAUUUUUUUUUUGCUAGCAGGAAAAAGGACAUGCUUGCGACCUACUGAAAAAAUUGUAUUAUUUGCGAACGGUAAAUUCAAUUCAAAGUGAGUUUAUCCAUUCAUUAGGGUUCGCAGCUGCGGAACCAAUUGUGAGCCCCGUGAUUUUUUCUUUAAAAAAAAUCCCAAUUUUUAAGUCCCGGAAAAAAAAUAGUUUGAACUUCCAAUAGUUUCUUUCCUACGCAUAAUGCAACCCGUGACUCAGCUGACCUCCACAGUUCGCAGAGGCUCCGCACCACCGCAAGGGCACCACCACAACCAGGGAUCGCUCGUGUUUGACUUCAGAGUCGCUUGCCCGGAACCCAUCUCCAAAAAUGUAUAUAUAUCCAUGAAAAGACCUUCUUAUUCAUCAUCCAUCAUCAUGUUGUUACAAAUUUUUUUUUUUUUAAAUUACUGUUAGUGGUGGACAAUAUCAUUGAGCUUUGAAGGUGAGUGUUUUGGCAUGUGAGACUUGGUUCUUAAGUCAACAAAACAUUUCCUAUACAUCCCACGACGAGGAUGUGACUGUGUUCCUACUUCCUACAGCAUCCCAGUUACACAAAUUCCUGAAAACUGACCAAGAGAAAAAAAGAAAAGAGCAGUGUUAGAACAGACCAAGAUCGUGUAUUAUUCACAAUCAAUUAUUUUUGUCAAGGGAUGAUGAUGAUGAGAUGGAUAAUUUAGCGCUUGCUUGCUCUUCAUGCAUGAUAAUCGGGUUUUCUUUCCUGAAGAUGUGAGAUGCUAACUUUUACGUGAACGUUUCUUGGCCCGGACUGAAAAAGAGGGAGUCUUGCUCAGACCCAUUUUAUGCCAUCUCAUAAUGAAUUAGUGGAAACUAAGUUCGACUUUAAUUGGAUGGUUUAUUGAUCCAUUAUGAUUUGAUUAUGAAAUACUAUCCAAUUAUCCGGUGAGGAAAUGGGAGGGAGGGUAUACUGCCACCAAAAUAGAAUUCCCCCACAAAAAAAAAAAAAAAAAAAAAAGGGGUCCCGCACAUUAUCAUUACAUGUCAUGUUCUAUCAUUUUGUUGUCGUUAAAGAAAGAUGCUUUAGCGGAGAAGGCAUAGGAGUGCAAAUCUUAGCUCCACUUAUUUCUCCAUGUAUCGGUGGAGAUAUGAUAAAUAGACAACCAAAUGAUUUAGACCUUCUAAAGUGGGUUAAAAGAAAAGCAAUAGAAACUAACGGGACAUAUGGGUAUUAGGAAUUUUGCUUCAAUUAGAUGCCAAGUUAAAGCUAAAGUGAUAACUCUUGACCCUAUCUUGAAGUCCAUUUUCAUCAUAAUGUACAGCAUACUUAAAUCUUUCUUUUCCUUUUCAUCUGCCAUCAACAAUGAACUCAUCAACUCAAAUGCCUAUCAUCUACUACUACUGCUACUAUAUAUCUUUUUGACCUAUUCAGUUCAAAGCGGUUUUUUUUAUAUUGGUUUAGUGACAGUGGGGUAGUUUGCUCAAGAAUUGGUUUAUCUGUUAACAGAAACCCAAGCAUGCAUUCUUUCUAAAUUGAAAAGAAUUCUUUAUCAUUAGAGGGCCUCACUCUACAGUGACAAACAAGCCUUCAUUUGCCUACUCAUCUGAAUCUGGCUGCCUGCCUAUGUGCUAUAGAUGUUUUGAACCCUAUAUAUAUUGCUAAGACAAAUUUUUCUGUACCAGAAAGAACGGCAAUUGUAUAGCUUUAUGUGCUUCCUUGUACACACUACUCAUUCAUCCUUGGUUUUGUUUAACCAAUUGUUAUUUUGGAGUAUUAAUUUCAUCAUUUUACAUGAUGUGGAAUAUUCCAAUCUUUUAACCAGACUAAUUUUCAAAGGCUGUGUAGAGUCCUUUAGCAUAAUAGUAGUAGUAUUUGGCUAAUCGAAAAAGAAAAAAAAGAAGAUUUCAGAGAGUGAUGCAAGCAAAGCAAAAACAACGCGUUGUUUUUGGUCACUGACAGGAGGUGAAAAAAGAGCACCAAUUUCCGUUGGCACUCGGACAAAUUUCAUCGAGGGAUCCGUUCCAACCUUUUAAGCCAAAAACUCAAAACCUAUCAUGAUGUUGUUUUGGAAGAUUUUAAGUUUUUUGCUAACUUCGUCCACAUCCCUUUUUGAAGUUGGAUGCUUGUCUAAAUGCUACCAUUACUCGCAGGUCUACCACAUAAUCAUCAAUUUCACAUCCCACUUUCUUUGCUUUUUCACCUACCCAUGCUAUUAAGUAAUAAUUACUUGCGCGAUAGGUGAGUGUGAGAUGUUACAGCAUCCUGUUGGUGCCGGUGCCGUUGGAGGACAGCCCAUAUCAUAUUCCUCUUCUAUCUAAGUGAGGGUAUAAAGGAUCAUCCAUCAAACUCCCGCUUCAUCUAUAUGAUCUAUCUCCCGUCAUUCCUCGCUGAAUAUUGUGCUUUUCGUAUAGCUGCUUUGCCUCCCGUUAAAGUGCCUCGAUACGAAGUUUGUUUUAAAUUCAUAUGAAUGUGUGAUAUACUCAUCUGAUCUGAUAGUGAUUUAAUUUUCGUCAGGCUUUCUCGACUCAGUUGAGCCUUUUCAUAGAGUAUAUUCCCUCUUCCCCCGCUUUCUAAGGAGUAAAAAUAGACUAGACAUGUAUCGUUACAAAAAGAAAAAAAAAAAUUGCUUUUCUUCCCUGUACACGUACACGCUAAUAUUUUUUUCCUCACUAGACAUCAUGGCGGACAUUGGUCAAAGAUUGAUAUUUUGACACCAUUAUAGUCAAUCAAAGUUAGCUGAGGCCUCAAGGAUCUUCCCUCUAACAAAUACAGAAAAUAAACAAUAUAUAUAUAAAUUGAUAUUGCUGAUAAAUUGCCCAAUCUGGUUGAACAUUUUUUCAGAUAAAGUAACUGACAUAUUUGACUCGAUAAGCAAGCAUAUUUAGAUGUUAAUCAUAACCUAAACACCGGAAAAGAUUUGUGUCAAAAUUAUUUUGCAACCCUCCAAAUAAUCCCAGUCGAUUUGGUUAGCUAAUCAUAGAGGAAUCGAACUAACACCACGCAUCGAUAGCAUCCUCAAACUAGCAGCAAAUGUGCUUCUAAUACCUAUGACAUAUUUGCUCGUCUCUACUCGCCAAGACAGCGGAACUUCUGCGACAAAAUAUGCUGCACUCUAGGCUCAUGCUAGUUUCGUAAAACAGCAGGAUAUUUUUCACUCCAUAAGAGUCCCAGGGUAAAAAUCUCAAAGUGGAAGCAAACGGAGAUUCACGAGUAUCUACUUUUUGGUAGUUGUGAUAGAGGGACAAAAACGGUGAUAGUGGCUAACUUUUUUAGUCUUCAUACAUGUCCAUUACAUGCUUGAAGAAAUCUGCAAAGCAAAUGAAUAAUCUGUACACCGAAAAGUUGCAAAAAAGGUGGUAUUGAAUCACGUAGUUGACAACCAUGUACUUCUAUACGUACUUUUACAUAUCUGACAAAAACAAAAUGAUGAAACACAAGCAAAGAGUCCUUCGAUCUGAUAAUAAUUUCAGACCUACUCAACAGUGAAAGUAGUGAACCUUAGAAGCAUAGAAGCCCACAUUCCACGGGGCUGUAAUCUACAUGUCCAGCGAUCUCCAUAGCACUACAGAGAUUUCAAGGCCAGAAAGAAAGCAAGAAACACUUGCAGUUGAAACACAAGCAAGCAGUAGUGAUGGAGUUGAUGUGUCGAAAUAGCAAAGCACUAUUUCUAUAUACCUUGUGAAAAAACACAAACAUAUGGUUACUUUGAUAUUGUCCCGUGACCUGACUCAUAACCUUCAUUGCUUGUGAUUGAACUGUCAAGAAGCACCGCAUGUUUAUACAUGUGCACUAAUCUAGUAUAGUUACAAUGCACGUAUCAAGAAAAAAACAUAGAUAAAUUCGAAAAAACAGAGGAGACAAAAAAGACUGAGAGCAAUAGAAAUGCUAAUAUUACCUUCAAAAAACUUCGAAGGUAAUUGGAUUCAAUCAGCAUGCUCACGAAAACGUACAAUUUUGUUGAUAAAAGGCCUCUCACCACGAUAGCUAUUCAUUGAAAUAAGAGGUAUAUUAUGAAACAAAGCACAAGCUAGAGAACAUUUUAAGUCAAUAAAGACGUAUAACUUUGGGUAAAGGCUGUAACAACGUUCUAUAUCAGUCUAAAAACAGUAGCAGUGAAUACUUACAUGACAAUUGCUGCGAUAAUCAGACAAGCAAAGCCAAUAGAGAAAUGGACACAAAAUGUCGUCCAGAAGUUAUCCCGAUCCAAAAAAAGUGUCUCUGAUAUCAGAGUAACAACACAUGAAAAUACCAAAAGAGACCACCCUGAAGGCAAGCAGCUCCAAAAGGAAAAUGACAAAGAACCCUGAGAAAAAGUAACUGCAUGUCUUUAGAGCAAGAUUAGAUCCUACGCUUAACAUACCAAAUCCCAGAUGGAAAAAAUCUUGAUCUGAUGAAAGAUAUACCUGGAAAUAAUUUUUGAUGAAUAUUGCUGAGUAAAUAAUCCUGAAAAUCAUAUCUAAGUAGUAGUUAAUUUUUUUUCCAUGUAUUUCAUCAUACAGGAACAUAAAGUGCUAAUCCUGUGACACUGAAGGCAUUAACUUUUGAUAUUCAUUUAAUAUAUGGCCUACCCAGCUAUCAGUUCAUGUACACUGCAUAAUGACCUUUUGUUCUAAAGCACAUAAGAACAUCUCUACAAGUAAAAGUAGCAACACAUGAUGGAUAAUGUGGAAAAUUAAGAUACCGAUAUGCAUGCUAAUAUAGAAUCAGCUAAAACACCAGGUACUGCCAAAAGAUAACAAAAGGAUACUCAAGGAAUUUGCAAUAAUUAGCCCAACUGCACCAAUUGAUUGUAUCAGACAGACAUUUAGCACUAGGUAAAUCAAUGAGAAAAAAAGCAGGGAAUCGUUCCAGCGCCUGAGUGAAUUCUCUGUUGCAACCGCAUGCAAAAAAGCUUCAGAUGUUCCUGUGAAAGAAAAGGGUAAAAACUCAAUUUUUUACUCACACACUACUGUAUGGAGAAGUUGCCCACAAUUGAUUAGGUAGUUGCAUUAUUACAUCACUAACCAUUCAUAGCCAAAGUGACCACAUAAAGCAUGUAAUAUCUAAGGGCUGUUGAAGCUUCCCCAUCACUCCAUUUCCGACCAUACAAUAUUCUAAUAAGAGAGUAAGAAUAGCUUGGUCCAAACGCCAUAACCAUGAGUCCUACAGAAUAUGCAAAAACAAGAGAGCAGACUAAGAGAAUUGCAUAAUCAAAUUCUUUCACAAGGGAGAAAGAAAAUGUAGAUUGGGGCUAAUGGCCACACACAACUAACAGGACAUAUAGAGGUAGCCUGGUAAGACCUACAGCUUCAAGGCUACUAAUAACUCUUUUUUUAUUUAUAAAAAUCAAAUACAAGUAACCUGAAUUGCAACCUGGUCUCCACGAGGCACAAACCCCUUGUAACAGAGGGUUGUUUUUUAAAAAAGAUCAAUCGAAGCCAAUAAAAUUUUUGUAUUCAUUGGCUUCUUAAACUCAAUUUGGUAGGCUAUCUAUUGUUCAAUAAUAUGUUAGGAAAAAACCAAGCCAGUUAAUUAAACUUAGCUUUUUCAUCCACCUGAUUAAUCCUCCACUACAGCUAUAAUAGCAACUGUAUAAACCAAACUUGAUCAAACAAAUUAAUCAAAACAGAAGAAGGCAAACAACUGGCAAAAAGUAUGAUUAGCAAGGUUCUCAAAAACUCUAUAAAAGGCUACCUAUAAGCAAAACCAGCUUCAAAGCAUCUGUUAAACAACUUGCCAACUUCCUCUUCUUCUGAGUAUAUUCUCCUGCCAAGAAAUAUAAUAUUAUCAUGAGCAUGAACGUCCGACAAAAUAAAGAGUGAACAAGAGACCGAAGAAUUGAGAUAUAAGAGAAACCCAAAAAAGAGGGCAAUACUAAAGAUUGAAAAACCAAUUCAUUGCUUAAAAUAUGAUCUGAGAGUGAAGAUGAUGGCGAAAUAAACCUGAUGCAGACCUUGCAAAGGUAGCAUACGAACUCUCUUCAAAAGGUAGAAACACCAGCCUCACCACUAAACUGCCUGAAAGUCAAGCCAGAUUUUGCUUUAAAAUCAUGCUUGUGAAAUAUGUGUUCAGGGUCCAGAUCAACAAUCAAGUCAAACUACUAAUCAUCCAUUUUCAGGGAACCAUGAAAUUAAGUCUUGGAAAACAAAGUAGAGCGAUCAGUUUACCUAAUUUGUCAACAAGUCCAUAUACAGCCUGAUUAUAUGGUGUGUCAAACCAUACAAGGACCAUCUUUUCUCCUUCUUGAAGAAUCAACUUCCUAACCGACUGAAGAGUGAACAACCUACACAUGGCUGUGAGUUGCUUGUCAUAGUUCAUCAUGUUUCCUACACUGUAGAAGCAUUUAUUGUUAACUCACAAAAUCUUCAGUACAACUAGUGGUAUAUCCAAGAAGCAAAAGUUAAUAAAAAGAAAAUUGUGACCAUACUCAUCUCUAUCAAAGAUAAUUUUUUAAAAAACUAGGCCAGAAUAAUUUAUGUUCUCUUACAAAGAUGUUAAAUUUCUUAAGACAAAAAUCAUUAUAGACAACAACACAUAAAACAAAACCUUUGUAACAACCAACAGCUCCCUUUCUCAUUGUGCAUGCUUGAUAUCUUGAUAUUAACAUCCCAACCACCACUCCAUAGGCUACUUUAGAAGUUAAAAGAUAACGGAUAUCCUCAGCAAUUGAAAUAUAAGAUGCCAACUAACUAUCCUAAUUGUUUAAUGUAUCUGUGAUAACAUUUACAAACACUUAGUGGCCCCACAAUAUUUGCAUAGCUACUCGACAUAAAUUCCGACAUCGACUGCAAUCAUACAUAAAAGUGUUAUUGAUUAUUCAAAUUGGAUUUAAUAACAAGGGAUAUUCUGGCCGUCACUUUAAAAUGGCCUGAACUCUGCAUGCAGAAUUUGUGUAUCACCCAGAUGGGCAUCAUGAAACAGCAAGGACAAGCGUAGGAACUUCCUUAAUUUUGCCACAACAUCAGUAUAACAUCUCCUGGCUUGGAAAGACUAGAGUUUUUCCCUAUUUUCUACUUUGUUUUUAAAGAAAUUCAAGCAAAAAAUAGAAAUACGAACCUGAAUGGAAAAAGAUCAGAUACUUUAUACAUACGAUAAAGAAGAAAGUAGCCCCAAUAACCAGCUAACAUAGAAGCUCCAUAUGCAGUUUGUGACAAGGCAAAUACAAUAGCUUUCUCCUGAAGAUUAAACAAGAAGAAGGUUGACAUAAGCAUACCAAAAACUUUGCUUCCUAUGUUUCCAACUUUUAUGCCAUUCAAAAGCUGAUUGCCACUUCAGAAAUUACAAUUUUGAAAUUACAAUUUUGUUAUUUUGACAAACUUUGAAGCAAAAGAUGGAUACAAUAACUUUGAGAAAAACCACAAUACACCAUACAAGUAGACACAUACAAUUAGAAAGAAACGGGGAACAGGCUAUACAACCAAUAUUAUUUCAAUUUUUUUAGCCGUAAUCCAUGUCUAAAUAACAAUUGACAACAUAUGGACCUUGUUCAACAUCCAACUGUUCUCAACUCCAUAGAGUUAAAUUAAAUGGAAAAAGAAAAAAAAAUGCCAACAAAGGCUAAACAGAUUCCCAAUAUCAAUAUCUUAUACCACCAACUAUAAAUCAACAAAAGAUUGAACUGUUGUUACCGUGUCAGUUUGCUUCACAAUGAGAGCAUAUGUUGUCAGACACCGCAUAAAUGUAGCUACAGUUUCAAUUACUAGGCGCAGUUUGAGUAGAAGCAAAUUUUGAGAUAAGAUAUAAAAGGGCUCAGCCAUUAUCUCCAAUACGCAUGCAAAACCUGCAAUAUUGCAUGGAAAAUAUAAGGUCAUCAAUAUGCAGUAUCAAACUAGAGUGAAAUGAAGAGUCAAUAAUCAUGUCUUAGUUUUCUAGGCCAAGACAUGUCAAGGUAACUUCUCUCAGUAUGUUUAGAAAAAGUCAGAGUUCUCCAUGGUGCAUGCUUCUUUUGUAUAAUAAAACCCCAAAACUUAUGCAAACCUUCAGAAUUAAUUAUGUCACACUUGAUGAAAAGCUGAGAGCAAGGAAGCAAUAGAUAAUUACUCAGGCACGAUAGAAAAUUGAUUUUGGAAGUUCAUAAAAUGAUUUCAUCUUACCAUUAAUCAAGAUAGCUUGUGCAUAUGGACUCUGAUAACCUAACCCCUGCCACCAGAGAACUAGUGCACAUCCUGCAAGUGUAAAAAGUAUUCCUAGGGGGAAGGUCAUCCAAGCUACUUUUAGAAGUCGUGCUGAAUUUUCUCCCAUUGAAGUGUCAUCACUACAAAGAAGACAUAAUCAGGAUUCAACCUUUCAGGUCUAAAAAAAGGGUUAAUCACAAUUAAUCCCCUUAAGGUAUACCCCAUUUCUUACUUUAUCCCUAACCUUUUUUUUUUUUGUCUCACUUUAUCCCCUAUUGGACAAAUUACCCCUCCAUUUUUCUAAUUUCUUUUUUUUUCUCCUUUUUGUAUUUUUUUCUUUCCCCUUUUUCCGUCUAUUUUCUUUGUCUCUUUCUUCUUUCGUUUGUUCUUCCUUUUUCCCACAAGAAACUUCAUUUCAGUGAUUGAAACUAAAAGAGAGGAAUUGCAGAGAUCUACCUUCUCUUCAUGUGAUCACAAAAUAUUCAAACCCUUUCCCCAAAAUACCAUUUUUUGCCCUUUCAAUUCUUUUGCUUUUUUCCCCCUUUCCCAUCCCGGUUUCUUAUUUUAUUCUCAGGAAAACAUUACAAGAUAUUUUUGUCACAUGAUUAAUUAUCAUUAAUUGGAAUUUGCAACACAUGGCAUCAUACAAAAGAUCGAAAUUACCUUUUGAUGCCUUUCAAAGUUUCACCAUUAAACCCAAUUACAAUUUCCAGAUAAAGUUUUCUGAUGAGAUGAAGUUUUCUAUUAAGAAUGAUAGAAGAGAGAAGAAACAGAAAAAGAAGUAAAGGAGGGGAAGGGGAGGCGAGAAAAAAAGAUAAGUGAAAAGUCAAAAUAAUGGAAGGGGAAUUUUGUCCUAUAGGGGAUUAAGUAAUAAAAAUUAAAGGUUAGGAGGUAAAGUAAGAUACGGGGUAUACUUUAAGGGGAUUAAUUGUAAUUAAACCCAAAAAAAUAAAUAUUAAAACUAUAAACUACACUAGCAAGUGUUACAUUUUCAUAAAGUAGCACCAGAAGACCCAUUGUGUAACAUAAUCGCCAAAGUAAAAAUAGCUAAAACAAGUUUACAGGCAAAUGUUGAGCAGUUCAUCUUUACAAAGCAAUGCUACAUUGAAAACAAAAUUGACUUUCCUAAAUAUCUUAAGUAGUUGAUGCUAAGAUUACGUUGAGAUCACUUUGAUAGAAGGCUUUAUAGAAAAGGUAACCGUCAGCAAUGAUUCCAUUUUCUCUCUAAGGUUAAUUUACAUAACCUCAUGUUCUUCACUUUUUCUAUAUAUUCACGCCAAGUUAAAUCAGGAUACCCAACACUAAACAAGGGUAGGUAAACUAAUUUUGUGAUGUGUAAAGAUAUGUAAAUAGAGAAUUCUAAUCAAAUAAAACCAAAUGCCACAACAAUUUUCAGACAUUCAUGGGACUUAACUAAACUUCAUCAAAUUUUUAUGAAUCAAUAAGAAGUCAUCAUGCAUUUUACUUCAAAAUAUUUAAACUUCACCAUUUACUCACCAUCAUGAACAUAGAAAAAUUAAAACAGAAACUUGAAAAUGACCAAAAAAACCCGAAAUAGUUUAGAGCUUGCUUAAAACUCAACGCGUAUCACUUUCAUUGCAAAACUUAACCAUCCACUGGCAGAAAGUUAUCACCAAAAUAAUAAUUCAAUAGCCAAUAUUUCGGGUAUACCAUCUAAAGUCAGCUCUCAAGCAUGCUCGCCGAAAGCCCUCCCGACUGAGGAACAAUAUGCAGGUGACAAACAGAUGGAAUUGUACAGCAUACAGCUGCAUAAUGUUUUUAAACAACAAAUGUUAGGCAUUACUCAAUGGAAAGAUAAUAAAUGAUAACUCGAUUAUAGAAUGUAUGAGAAAAUCCACAAAAGGUAGGUCAAAUAACAAAGAUCAUAAAGCUACAGACAUUGACUUGUGAUGUAUUAAAACAAACAGAUUCUAACAAGUUCUACCCCCAAGAAAACUUAUGUUAAUUUCACUUUUCCAAAGAUUUACUUCAAGUGCAACAUUCAACUUGUGCAACUACUAUGGAAAGUUCAAUAAAAAUAGUGAGCUUUGAAUUCUUUACUCUUCGCUAGGUCAGAGAAAGAAGAUUUCAAAAUGGUAGCAAAGAAACAUUAUGGCAGGCCCCAACCUGAAAUUGAAAAGGGCAAGCCAAAAAUCUUCACAUAGUAUUCUGAUAAAAAAAAAAAAGGGGGUGAAUAAUUCCAAAAAAAUGCCAGGUCCUUUUUCUAACUACUUAGAGUCAGUAAUCAACAUCCUGAUUCAACCAUUCUGCUCAAUUUCAGCCCAGGCCUUAUUACAUUCAAAAAAUCUCCUGCUUCAUGAAAUCAAAGAAAAGAAAGUUAACCCUUCUGAAUUAUAAUUAUCCCCAUUCGUCUCAACAUAAUGCCAUACCUUAACACAACAAAAACAACAUUAAAUUGCAACAAUGACAAACAUCAGUUAUAUCACAAUUAGCUGGAAAAGUGCAUUAUUAAUUUACACCGUCUAAAAUAGGCAUUGCUUCCCAAUAUUAAGAUGCUGGUCGUACACCAAUCCCUCCUCCUUCUCUGCAUUCCUCCAUCCGUCACUCCCUAAAACAAGUAACCUUAGAGCAACCGCCAUCACCCUACCUUUGCAUUUCUAUAGGGCAACUAAAACACUUUCUGAUGGGGGAAAGUCCCCAAUCAUAGCAAGUAUUUAUGACGUGCUUUGUUGAUAAUCCGCAUUUAAUCAACUGAGGAAGCGCGACCAUCAAACAAUAACAGGCUCCAUUGUCCUUAUAGUGAUGCAAAAUAAAAAUUUGAAUAAAAACGACCAAAGGUUUGAUUAGAAUAGUAUACUGCAUAGUCUUCUUCGGUAAGGUGGCGGACGAUCCAUGAAUUGAAUAUAAAUGGUAUUCCCCUUGAUAGAAACUGCGUGGCUACAAAAUACGAAAGCAAUUGCUUACCAAUCAAACCAACUUACUUGAAAUUCAAAAAUAAAAGAAAAAAAAUCAUGCGCAAAUCAAUAAAACGACGAAGCGAAAAAAACGUUACCCAAUAGGUACUUGAAAGUUCGAGGCAAAUUAGGGGUACGGUCAGCUUCUCCGGAGGGCUGAGACUGCUCCGGAGAAGUUGAAGAUUCCGACAUUACUGAUUUCUAGCUUCUGUAAGUCUAGAAGUAGUAUCUAUAACUGAAAAUUUCUAUAGAAGGGGAACGGCGGUGGUAAGGGUGGAAUCUGAUGGAAGCUGAUGGCAGAAAACAGCAACGGUGGUUCCGGUUAGUCCGAGGGCGGUCUGAGAAAUGGCCCAAUCUCUUACAUUCUUUGGGCCUUACUGUUUGUUAUUUCAACAUUGGGGUCCUUAAUUUUGUAACAGCACUAUUUUUUUUCCUUAUUUUUGCCUGCAAUAGAGGCCCAUUGGCCCAUUUAGGCCCUUAAGUCGGAUUUGGGAUGCGACCAGUCCAUGAAACAGGAACAAUACGUUUGUCUUGGAUUUUUUUUAAGGGCUGAUUACAGGAAUGUUAUUGUUGCAGCAAAAAAAAAAAAACUAAAUAAACACUUUAUUCGCUUAUUUAAUAUUUUAAGACAAAUGUGCUCUUGCUAUUUUAUUUUAGGGAAAAUCGUCCAAAACGUUCCUCAUAUUUUGUAAAAUGACUUUUUUUGUCCCUCACAUUUAAAAGUGUAAUUUUAUGUCCCUUACAUAUUCACAUCGGUCAAAUUUAGUCCCUAACUAGGUUUCCGAUCAUUUUUUGGCCGGAAUCCAUCACAUGCAAGGCAUAUGAUCAUUUUUUAAAGGUAAAUUUGUUAAAUUAUAUUUUACAUAAUCCGAUCUAUAGUCCUCCACAUUUUAUAAAAUAAAUUUUUUCGUCCCUCACAUUUUAUAAAAUAAUUUUUUUCAUCCCUCACAUUUGACAAAAUGAAUUUCUCCAUCCCUUACAUUUCAAAAAAUGAAUAUUGCCAUCCCUCACUAAUUAUGUAUGUGAGGGAAAUCCUAAAAAAAAAUGUGUGUGAAUACAUUUUGUUUAAACACAUGUAUAUGUCUAUUUGAUAUUGCUUAAUAAUACGAAUAGCAUAAAUAUAUGUAUGUGUCUAUUUGAUUUCACUUAACAAUACGAAUACCAUAUAUUAUACGUGAUCAUUUGAUUUCAUCUGGUAUUAGCUAGUAAAUAAUAUUGCAUUCAUUGUCAAGUUGGCCAAUAAAGCUAUUUUCGGUCAAAAUACAAUAAGAAUAUGCAAAUUAAGGUUCUGUUGGUAAAUAUUAGUCAUAAUCAUACAAAAAGAGAAGAUAGCCCACAAGUUGGACCCAAUUACAUACAUGUGUUUAUGCUAUUAUUAUUAAGUAAAAUCAAAUAGACAUAUACAUGUGUUUAAAAAAAUGUAUUCACACACAUAAUUAGUGAGAAAUAAAAAAUUCAUUUUUUAAAAUGUAAGGGAUAGAGAAAUUCAUUUUGUGAAAUGUAAGGGAUGAAAAAAAUUAUUUUAUAAAAUGUGAGGGACGAAAAAAUUUAUUUUAUAAAAUGUGGAGGACUAUAGAUCAGAUUAUGUAAAAUAUAAUUUGACAAAUUUACCCUUCAAAAAUGAUCACGUGCCUUGCACAUGAUGGAUUCCUGCUAAAAAAUGAUCGGAAACCUAGUUAAGGACUAAAUUUGUCCGAUAUGCAUAUGCAAGGGAUAUAAAAUUACACUUUUAAAAGUGAGGGACGAAAAAAGUUAUUUUACAAAAUAUGAGGGACGUUUUGGACGAUUUUCCCUUUAUUUUAUUUCUUUUUUAUUUAUUCAUUCUCUUGUUUUUUCUUUUUCACUACUUUCUUUUAUUUAUUCAUUCUCUUUUUUAUUUUGUUUUACUAAUAUUUAUAUUAAUUAUUUUUAUGCAUAGUUGAUUAACCACUAUAUUAUUACGAUCUAAAUUUGUUACUAUUAUUAUUAAAAAUUAAUGUAUUUUAGACUCUGGACAUAUUGGCCUGGUUUGGAACCUGAGUUUUUUGAUAAUUUGUCUAGAUUUUUACUGUAGUACACUGUAGAAAUUUUUAGAAAAAAUUUUUAAGAUGAAAUUUUUUUUCCUUUCUUUUUCUUUUUCUUUCUUUCCUUUUUCUUUUCUUUCCCUUCUUCUUUUUCUUUUUCUUCCUUCCCUCUCCCUCUUCACUUCCCUCACUCGUCACCUCUGCCCUAGCAUUGAAGAGCCAGCAGAUGGUAAAAUUUUUUUUCCCUUUUCUUUCUUUUUUCUUUUUUUUCUUUCCUUUUUCUUCUCUUUCCUCUCUUCUUUUUCUUCAUUCCCCCUCUCCCGCUACCUCUGCCUCCAGCUUUGAAGAACCAGCAGCCAUGGUCAAGGGUAUUUUUUUUUCUUUUUCUCUUCCCCUUUUCUCCCUCUCCCUCUCCCUCUCUGCUCCCCUCUCGCCCUCUACUCCCCUUCACCUUCCCCCUCUCUCUCCCGAAGGCAGAGAUCCAGCAACCAUGGUUUUUUUUUUUUUUUGCUUUUUCUCUCCCCUCUUCUCCAUCUCCCUCUCUCCCCUUCUCCCUUUUCCUACUCUCCUCCCCUUCCUCCUCCCCCUUUGCCCAAUGUGGUCGCAUGACCAGAUCACAGAUGCGGUCUGGUAUCGCGACUGCUUGCGAUCUAGUCGCACGAUCAGAUCGCAGUUAGGGGAGGGUGGGCGGGGAGGAGAGGGAGAGAGGGGAGGGACAGAAAAAAAAAAAAAGAAAAAAGACAAGAAAGGGGUUGUAGAUCGGUCAAAGGGGAAAGGGGAUGGGGAAGGGAGAAAGGAAAAAAAAAGGAAGGCCGGCGUUGGAAUAGGUGACCGGCGCCGGAAGCAGCGGCGGAGAUGGUGGCCAGCGACGAAGGUGUGGUGGUGGAUCAGGGUGGGGGAGAAAGAAGAAGAAAAUAGGAAGUUUUUUGUGUAUUAGAUAUUUUGAAGUGUGCAGGUUAAAAAAUUUGAUAAGUUUUUUCGGGUUUCUAUAGCUAAAGUUGUUAAAAAACUAGUAGCUAAAAAACUUGGUAAACAACUGGGGUUCCAAACAGGCCCAUUAUUUUAAGUAAUUUAUGAAAUAGCCUAUGCACAUACUUUGUGAUCAUUAUUACUUUCAAUAACAAACAGUAAAAGAGCUAGAAUUAAAUAAAGAAUAAGUGUAAAAAGAUUAAAAUUUAUGUAUAGAUAAUAACAGUAAAGAGAAAAAAAUAGUUAAUCACAUGAGAGAAGGGAUAAAAAUUUUAAAAAAUAUAUAAAAAAAUGGGCAAGUAGAAAAAGGGCAACAAAUGAUAAAAAGAAAUAAAAUAACAAUUAAUAUAGAAUGGACACUUCUAUACUAAAAUAUGAAACAGGUGAAUAAAGUGCCUAUUUAUUGAGUUGAGUAGCAUAAAGUGUAACUAAGAUAAAGUUGAAGGAGAAUUGUGCUCUUAAUCCCUUUUUUAACUCAAUACACACGAGAGGCCCGACACUAAAGAAGGUACUAUUGGCGGUGAGUUACUUGGUAGAUGCCAGAUAAAGGAGUGGCCUACCAUAUUGCUUAGUACUUUUUUUGAUUAGUAGUAUUACAUUGCCGACUAACAUACAUGAUUUUGUUAGUAAUCAUGUUAGUAUAAAUCAAUUUUGGCACACUCUAAUUUGGCACACCUGACCCCCAAAAAAAAAUAAUAAAAAAAAGAUUUUGUAACUUGCACUUUUUCCCUUAACCUUCUUCGAAUUCAAGCGACAUAGAAUAAUUGAAGAAAUGGAAGGUGACGUGCAUGGGGAAGACAAGUGGCAACAAGGUUAUGACGCCAGUUUGCUGCUACUCUGGUGUUGUUCGGCGCUUCAGCGGCUUAGCAGAAACGGGACGUCGGAGCAUGAAGGGAACGUUAGGAAACAAAAUUGAUACGUCAUGUCUAUCCAUCCAUCUCCGUCAAUUAAAAUGUACUACUAUUAACAAUGCCCUUUGAGCAUCCAUUAAGAAAAUCUUUAGAUACGUGGCAUUGUUUUAUGUUGUUUUAGAUUUUGUAUAAUUUGAAUAUGAAAAGUUAUUAGAGAGAACAUUAUAAAAAUUGAUUAUCCAAAAUCAGAAUUUAUAAAACAAGAAAUCACCAAAUAAUCACUUCAUGCCCAAAACAACUAAAUUACUUCUAAAUAAUUAGAAAUAGGAAACAUUAAGUUUGUUCCGUUGUUUGAGUAAUUUGUUAAGCCACCUCAAUCGAGUUGACAAGGACAUCAUUGUAUAAAUAUAUAAGAAUAAUGAAAUGAAGAAAUAUAAAUAUAUUUGUGAAAAACUUGUUUAUUUUUCUGAAGAAUUGAAACAAAUGCUAGCUUUUAGUCGAUUUCUUGGUAUCCAAACAAAAUAAAGGAAUUUUAUAGUAGGAAAUCAAUCUAGGCUCGACUUUCCAAGUGAAUGCAUGUACUAAUUAGCAGAUCAUUGAAAUAAUCACAUCCGAUUUCCUUACGGCACAAGAUGCUUGCGUAGAUACCUAGUAGGACAAUUUUAGAAACUUCCCAUGAGAUUUUUAACUAUGUCAUUAACCUCCCUUUAGGUUUUGAAAAUUGCAUGAACCUCCAUCGAGACUUACCAUCUUAUAACAUCUAAAUCCAACAAAAAAAAUUAAAAAGUGAUAUUAAAAGGAGAGAAGUUAAUAUGAUUUCAUCAUUGUCCCCAUCUAUUAAAUUAUUUAAUUAAUAUAAUUCGAGGCUAAAUAUUAAAGAAAACACUAGAAUUUGUGACUUAUCAUCAGGGUUUAAAUCAUAUAUGGCAUAAAAUAGUAUAUUAUUCUAUGUAUUUCACUUAAUAUAAGAUCUAAAUUACUCUUUUCACUUACGACCACAUUAUGUCAAAUAUGACCAAUAACAAAUAAUAAUUAAAAAAUCAGCAACCAAAAUAUUACAAGAAACGAAUUUUAAUACCAUAAAAAUCUCAGCAACUAACGUUAACAUUUUGACAAGAAUAUUUAUGAUGUUAAAGUUUGUUCUUUGUAAUAUUUUAGUUGCAAAAUUUUUGAUUGUUUAUUGUUGAUCAUAUUUGUUAAUGGGAAUGUAAUUAAAAAGAGUAAUUUGGAUAUUGUGUUAAGUGAAAAUAUAAAAUGAUAUAUUAUUUUUUGGUACUAUGUAUAAUUUGAUCUCUAAUAAUAAACAACAAAUUUUCGUGCUUUUCUUUAAUGUGUAAGUUGGUACUCCGUAUUAAAUUAAUUAAAUAAUAUAGUAGACGAAAGGCAAUGAUGGAAUCAUGUUAUCUUCUCUCUUUUAAUAUUGUUUUUUAAUUAUUGGUUGGAUCUAAAUAUUAUAAGAAAAUUAAACUCAAGAGAGAUUAGUAUAAUUUUUAAAAUUUGAAAAAAAGUCAGUGAAAUAGUAAAAAACCUUAGGAGAGGUUUCUGAAAUUAUCCCAUACCUAAUAAACCCUUUUAUGCAAAUGCAAUUGUUUUGUGACAUAACGAUAAUAGACAACAAAGAACCCAUAGAAUACUAGAUUCAGCAAAAGGAGAGGGACCAGUUUGAAAAAAAAAAAAGAGAAAAAAUCACACUACGCUACAAGUCUACAACUUCCUAGAGAGACAGAACUCUAUUCCAUUCUAUUCUAUCCAUAAAAAGUAUUUAUCCCUUCUCCUCCAACAAAUCAACCUCAAAAAAAGAACUAAAAAGAAAAAAAACCAGUCCAACACCCACAGCGGCGUUGACAGAGAGAAAAGAAGCACAUGAGGUCAUUUGGUGGUGGCAGCAGAGGCAUGGGCGGAGGAGGCAGCGGUGGUGGGAGCGUGCAGAUGCUACGAAGUGUUCAAAGGGCUGUGAGAGCCCGAACUGUCGGCGGUGGGGGUGGCGCAGCCCAUGAACCUUUCUCUCAUACUCACCCCUCCACUACCAACACCGCUACUACUACUAAUCUUGGUAGAACGAGACAAACUACUUGUAACAAUAACAAGAACCAGCCCAUCACGCUUUCUUCUUCUUCUUCUUCAACAGCUUCAUCUGCUAUAUUUUCUACAUGCAACAAUCUCCUGCCAACAACAAUAUCAACUGCUGCACCACCCGCCUGGCCUUCUUCGUGUUCAUCGCCUACGUUUACGGAUGAUUCUGAUUGGGAGUGUAUCGAUGACUGUUAUGAAGACUUCGUUUUUGGGACCGUUCCAUCCAAGGACGAGGUCCAUCAUGCAGUUUUUGCUCUCCAGGAGUAAGUUUCUUGAAUUCCAUUUUUUCUUUUUCUUUUUUUUCAUAUAAUUUCUUAAAAUUUUGGAAUGAAUUAUCACUUAGUUAUGAUUAACUUUCCAAGGAUGAUGUUUCGUACGGGGUUUCUCUAUUCAAGGAUGGAGUAUAAGGAAUACAUAUUGCUUGCUUAAUUAUGGAGAUUUGUCUGACAUCUAAUUAAUAUGGUUAUUUUCCUAUAAUAUCAUUAUACCAUGGAUAUUUUGUUGUUGGAUUUUAUUUUUGGGAUGCUGAUGUUGACUUUGAUGUCGACAUCGGGAGUCAAAUAUUCGGCUUACUGUAUCAGUUCCCUGGGAUUGGAUAGAUGAGUCAAACAAGUUUCUCUAACCAUUGAAAAAAAAUCCCAUAAUCAUUUGCAACACCCAGCUAUAUAUGCUAAUUUGACAUAUUUAUGCUGUUGCUUUACUGUUGAUAAUUAUGCCAUACAAAAGUACCAUAAGAACCAAAAUUCGUGGUGGUUUACAACUUACAAGCCUUGGAACCCCAGAGACUGUAAAUGUAGAAAACAGCAAGUUAUAUACAAAAAUUAGUUCUUCUUGAGUACAGCUGGGAUUUCUUUUGCCUCCUCGUUUGAGAUUUUACUAAAAAUAAUUAAAGAACAGAGCAUAACGUAAUUUGAGCCACAGUAGAUAGACAGCAUGCACUUACCUGUUAGAGCUUUAUUAUUUGUAUUUACCUGGAGUUGAUAAUGAAAUCUUCUUUCUUGAAAAUGUGCGUCACAUAUAGUUUCUGAAUUACUCAGACAUCUUUAAUCUAACGAUAUACAACCGUUAAUUUUUAUUUAAUUCUUAUGAAGCUUAUGUUUACAUUAGCAGUUAAGUCUUGGCAUCAACUCACAUUUCAUUGUUUCAUUGUCAUAAUAUUGCCAUUUCUUGAAAUUUUGUAAUUCUCAGGGCACUAGAUCCAGCCUCAGCUAAAUAUUUGAUCGACGACAUACCUGCAUACAAUUUGGAUGCUGACUUAGGUGGUCAAGUAUCUGGCCUCACCGGUUCCCUGCAAAGAUCUUCUCCAUUUGGCAGCCAGUUGGAUUGGAUGGAGCCCUCAUUGCAACUCUGCAGCCAGAGCACGUUGCAGGCUCAUGAGCGAGUUCAUGAUGCUUUGCACUUGCUCAGGAACGAACCUUCAGUUCAGGUUUAUUCUGCAUGUCAUGACUAUUAGAUUGUUAUUGUUAAAGCUUUGGCGUUAAAUGAAUCAUUGAAGGAAAUAUAUGAACUUGGAAAAGCAUCAGUUGUGGAUCUACUUGCUUGAGUAAUUUAGUUGUUUUUAACAUCUCGUGAUAUCAAAUUCCUCGCAUCCCAGGGCAAAUAGUAGCAUGAACAUGUUCAUCAACAAUUUUUGUUGUUGUUCUGUGUCUUGUUUUGUUGAGUCUUUUGUUGGGUUUAUUGUCUUAACCAAGAUUAGCUUUCAUGUCAUAUUUUCUAAAUAGAAGCUUUCGCUGCUUAAUUGAUAGAGAAUGGUGGUAUCACUAUCUUCUGAUAAAGCUGUUUGGGAUGCUGUGUUGAAUAAUGAGGUAGUUCAGGAGCUCAGAGGGUCUCUCAGUCAAGGUUUGUAGUAAGUCCAGAAAAUGGGACGUUAUCUCCUCAUUAUAAUCGUGGUAUUAAUGCUUGCAAUUGUUGCCAUUCAUAGUUUCUUUGUUGCCCAUUAAUGUUGUUCUGAUACAUGAAGCAGGUAAAAAUCCUGCUGAGAAGUCAGAUGAUGGUUCUGAUCCAGCAAGAGGCUUUCUAAGUUGGGUAAUUGUCAACACCAAAGCGACAGUCAUGGAGCUUGUUGACAAGAUUACGAAGCUAGUAAAUGAACUAUUCCGCACCGAAGGAGGAGGAGGAGACAGGACAGCUGAUAGAAGAGCAGAUCCUUUUGAUGAAAAGCUGAGAGCAUCGUUUCUGCUCUCGGUCGUGGUUAUGCUAAUCGUGGUCGCGGCUCGAUCAAGCAAGGCAUGAUCAUAGUACUCUAAUUUGUCGACCUAACCGGUGGCUUUUCCUGCUGUGUAGGAAACGUUCUGUUGUACAUCGAAUUUUAAGUGGUUUUGUAAGAGAAAAUGACAUUCAUGCAUCUGUUUUAUUCUGUUCGUUAAUUUUCUACAGCUCAAGAAGAUUAGACACCCAUAAUUGUACUUGGAAAAAAAAAAAUCAGGGAGCAAAAUGGUCUGGACGAAAUGAUACCGGUCAACGGGACAAAAUUUUGCGAAGUGUAUGAUAACAUAGAAAAUCAAUAUGGAUUUGAAAAAUAUGAAGAUGAAAAGAAUAUACCGAACCUAAAUAAGUCAAUAGAAGUUUGCAAUUCAUCCAGUUACAUUACUAAUAAAGAAAAAGCAGGUUCCUAAAAGAAGAAGUUCCUCAACUGCCUAGAAGAUUUUGUAAAGCUGGAGCACCUGUACAACUAGCUAGUAUGCAAGACUGAAAGCACACUUCUCAUUGACAUCACCGAUAAAAGCCUAUUUAUCAGCAAAAUUCUCAAGCC